UCCUAGUUAACCUAGGCAGUCUCGCUAGAGUGCCCACCAUUACGUGCUGGCAACUAACGACAAGGGUUGCGCUCGUUGCGGGACUUAACCCAACACCUCACGGCACGAGCUGACGACAGCCAUGCAGCACCUGUGCAAUUGUCUCUUGCGAGAAAACUGUAUUUCUACAGUGAUCAACUGCAUGUCAAAUCCAGGUAAGGUUCUUCGCGUUGCAUCGAAUUAAACCACAUGCUCCACUGCUUGUGCGGGUCCCCGUCAAUUCUUUUGAGUUUUACCCUUGCGAGCGUACUCCCCAGGCGGUAUACUUAUCGCGUUGGCUACGGUACAGUCAGGGUUGAGCCUAACUACACCAAGUAUACAUCGUUUAUGGCAAGGACUAC
rnacentral:misc_RNA from 1 species